rnacentral:rRNA from 1 species
UACGUAGGGGGCUAGCGUUGUCCGGAAUCAUUGGGCGUAAAGCGCGUGUAGGCGGUCCGGUAAGUCCGCUGUGAAAGUCGGGGGCUCAACCCUCGGAUGCCGGUGGAUACUGUCGGGCUUGAGUACGGAAGAGGCGAGUGGAAUUCCUGGUGUAGCGGUGAAAUGCGCAGAUAUCAGGAGGAACACCAAUUGCGAAGGCAGCUCUCUGGGACAGUACUGACGCUGAGACGCGAAAGCGUGGGGAGCGAACAGG